AUGUAUGAGCAGAGCCCAGCAGUCCUGAGGGUCCUCCCAGGCUGGCCCUGCUACGCGUUCCUGAUCAUGCCCACUGCAGAGCAGUCUCCCUUGACUCCAGCUCACCUUCCAAGCUUGGCCUUGAGCCUUCACAUCGCUGCUGUGAGCCUCCAGAAAUCUCUUCAGUACAUUCCUUUUUACUUAAGUUAGCCUGAGCCGGUUUUGCUUAUUUAAAACCCAGGGCCCCCACUAACACAGGACUGUUCUCUUCCUUCUUCUCACCACCUGAGUGCCUGGUUUAACGGAAAGCACCACUGGCCUCAUUUCCUAAAGUCCCCUGGAUAGCACCUGCCGAGGUCCCAGUGGCACCUCCAAUGUAACCUGGUCCAAAUCCAGUCCUCCCCAGCCCUGCUCCUCCCGCUGGGCCCCUCCUCCAGCUUCCUAUUCAUGGCUUCUCUUCCCAGGCCUUCCCAAUUUCCAAAUCACCUGUACAGAAUCCAGUAGCCCCCGACAAUGACAUUCAAGUAACUGACAACCUGGACAGUCCUCUUUAAUCCAGCCCCUCUGUAUUUAUUUGCUUGCUUGGAUUGCCAUAACAAAGUCCCACAGAUGGGUGGCUUAAACAACAGAAAUAUAUUUUCUCAUAGUUCUGGAGGCAGAAGUCCUAGAUCAAGGUGCUGGCGGGGCUGGUUUCUUCUGAGCCCCCCUUCCUUGGUCUGUAGAUGGCCAUCUACUUUCCUUGUCUUCGCAUGUUCUCCCCUCUGUGCAUAUCUGUGUCCUAAUUUCCUCUUCUUAAGGACACCAGUCAUAUUGGAUUAAGGCCCAUUUCCAUGACCUCAUUUUAACUUAAUUACCUCUUUAAAUACCCUAUCUCCAAAUAACAGUCACCUUCUGAAGUACUAGGGGUUAAAGUUUCAACACUGAAUUUUUUGGGGGGAACACAGUUCAGCCCAGGACACCACCAUCCUCUGCAUUCCCACUGCCUCUGCCUGAGCUUCAGCCUUGCCACCUCCCUCCUGUUUUUGCAAUAGCUCAGCCCCUCUAGCACCCAGCACCCAGCUCCCUAGUGCCUCCAGAAUAAACGCUGAAUUCCUUAGCCUGGCAUCCAAGGCCCUGAUGAGCCUGACUUCACCUGUUUUUAAAGUCAUCACUGCAGUGAGGGUCAGGAAAGAUGGGAAUGUUGUCUAAUGGCUUGCUACUGAAAGUGUAACUCAUGGACUGGCAGCAUUGGCAUCACCUGGGAGCUAGUCAGAAAUGCAGAAUCUCGGGCCAGACCACAGACAUACUGAAUCAGAAUCUGCCUCACCUGCAUGAGAUCCCCAGGUGACCUGAUACAAGGCGAAGUUUGAAAGUUUACAGAUGACUGGGCAUCAUUGCUCAUGCCUGUAAUCCCAGCACUUUGGGAGGCCAAGGUGGGAGGCUUGCUUGAGUCCAGGAGUUUGAGACCAGCCUGGGCAAGAUAAUGAGACUCCCCUCUCCCUCCUCCUUUCUUCACAACAAUAAAAAAAGUUAGCCAGGUGUGGUGGCAUGCACCUGUGGGCUACUCAGGAGGCUGAGGUGGGAGGAUAACUUGAGCCUGGGAGGUCGAGGCUGCAGUGAACCGUGAUCACACUGAUGUGCUCCAGCCUGGGCGACAGAGCAAGACCUUGUCUCAAAAGAAAGAGAAAGUUUGGCCAGGUGCGGUGGCUCAUGCCUGUAAUCCUAGAACUUUGGGAGGCCAAGACAGGCUGACCACCUGAGAUCGAGACCAUCCUGGCUAACACGGUGAAACCCCGUCUCUACUAAAAAUACAAACAUAAAUUAGCUGGGCGUGGUGGCCGGCGCCUGUAGUCCCAGCUACGCGGGAGGCUGAGGCAGGAGAAUGGCGUGAACCCGGGAGGCAGAGCUUGCAGUGAGCCGAGAUUGCGCCACUACACUCCAGCCUGGGUGACAGAGGGAGACUCCGUCU